AACAAUCAACAACGAACCCAACAUCUAUUCUGAAGGAGGUUACAGAAACGAAGGCUAAAGAAGAGAACACAACUCCAGAACUCAAGCAAUCAAUCAAUCCCGAAGCCCCGUUAUUCUAUGCCAAGCAAGCAGUGAAUCCCGAAGCCCCCUUACUCUGUGCCAAGCAAGCAGUGAAUCCCGAAAGCCUGUUUUUUUAUGCCAAGCCAGCAAUGAAUCCCAAGGUCCCCAAGCAAGCAGUGAAUCCCGAAAGCCUGUUUUUUUAUGCCAAGCCAGCAAUGAAUCCCACCCCAAGCAAGCAGUGAAUCCCGAAGCCCCCUUAUUCUAUGCCAAGCAAGCAGUGAAUCCCGAAGCCCCCUUACUCUAUGCCAAGCAAGCAGUGAAUCCCGAAAGCCUGUUUAUCUAUGCCAAGCCAGCACUGAAUCCCAAGGUUCCCAAGCAAGCAGUGAAUCCCGACAGCAAUGAAUCCUGAGGUCCCCAAACAAGCACUGAAUCCUGAGGUCCUGCUUCUCUAUGCCAAGCAGUGAGUAUGAAUGUAUGUGAAACUGGAUUUCUUUUUCGUGUGUGUGUAACCACCAACGUCCUGAAGUUUCAAAAUAAAAAUGAUAUUAUGAAAUAUUUCGAAUGGGGUUGAGGCUGUCAACUUUAUAAGACCAACUUUAGCAAACUCUAAAUCCAGAUGUAUGAUAUAUUAGUUAAUUGUCGACAGUAUGUAAGAUGAUA
rnacentral:lncRNA from 1 species